rnacentral:rRNA from 1 species
GUGGAUUAGAUACCCUGGUAGUCCACGCCCUAAACGAUGUCCACUAGGUGUUGGGGGAGCGAUUUCUCAGUACCGUAGCUAACGCGCGAAGUGGACCGCCUGGGGAGUACGGCCGCAAGGUUAAAACUUAAAGGAAUUGACGGGGACCCGCACAAGCGGUGGAUGAUGUGGAUUAAUUCGAUGCAACGCGAACAACCUUACCUACCCUUGACAUGUCCGGAACCCUGCUGAGAGGUGGGGGUGCCCGAAAGGGAAUCGGAACACAGGUGCUGCACGGCCGUCGUCAGCU